rnacentral:rRNA from 1 species
ACCAGCAGCCAUGUCACCCUGCAUCUCACCCUGCCAGCCCACUGAAGCUCAGCAGGUGUGAGCCUGGUCAGUACCUGGAUGGGAGACCUCUUGGGGAAAACUGGGGCCAGCAGGGG